rnacentral:rRNA from 1 species
UACGUAGGGUGCGAGCGUUUGUCCGGAAUUAUUGGGCGUAAAGGGCUCGUAGGCGGUUUGUCGCGUCGGGAGUGAAAACCUUGGGCUUAACUCAGGGCUUGCUUUCGAUACGGGCAGACUAGAGGUAUGCAGGGGGAGAACGGAAUUCCUGGUGUAGCGGUGAAAUGCGCAGAUAUCAGGAGGAACACCGGUGGCGAAGGCGGGUCUCUGGGCCGAUACUGACGCUGAGGAGCGAAAGCGUGGGGAGCGAACAGG